rnacentral:rRNA from 1 species
UACGAAGGGGCUAGCGUUGCUCGGAAUCACUGGGCGUAAAGGGUGCGUAGGCGGGUCUUUAAGUCAGGGUGAAAUCCUGGAGCUCAACUCCAGAACUGCCUUUGAUACUGAGGAUCUUGAGUCCGGGAGAGGUGAGUGGAACUGCGAAGUGUAGAGGUGAAAUUCGAUAGAUAUUCGCAAGAACACCAGUGGCGAAGGCGGCUCACUG